rnacentral:rRNA from 1 species
GAUGAACGCUGGCGGCGUGCCUAAUACAUGCAAGUCGAGCGAACGGACGAGAAGCUUGCUUUUCUGACGUUAGCGGCGGACGGGUGAGUAACACGUGGAUAACCUACCUAUAAGACUGGGAUAACUUCGGGAAACCGGAGCUAAUACCGGAUAAUAUAUUGAACCGCAUGGUUCAAUAGUGAAAGACGGUUUUGCUGUCACUUAUAGAUGGAUCCGCGCUGCAUUAGCUAGUUGGUAAGGUAACGGCUUACCAAGGCAACGAUGCAUAGCCGACCUGAGAGGGUGAUCGGCCACACUGGAACUGAGACACGGUCCAGACUCCUACGGGAGGCAGCAGUAGGGAAUCUUCCGCAAUGGGCGAAAGCCUGACGGAGCAACGCCGCGUGAGUGAUGAAGGUCUUCGGAUCGUAAAACUCUGUUAUUAGGGAAGAACAUAUGUGUAAGUAACUAUGCACGUCUUGACGGUACCUAAUCAGAAAGCCACGGCUAACUACGUG